rnacentral:lncRNA from 1 species
UUUUCUGUUAGUUUGAGUGUAUCUGACUUUAUGUGGAGGUCCCUGAUCUACUUGGACCUAAGCUUUGUACAGGGUGAUAAGAAUGGAUGGAUUUGCCUUCUCCUACAUGCUGACCUCCAGUUGAAUCAGCACCAAAUGCUCUUUUUUCCACUGGAUGGUUUUAGCUCUUCUGUCAAAGAUCAAGUGACUAUAGAUGUAUGGGCUCAUUUCUAGGUCUUCAAUUCUAUUCCAUUGAUCUACCUGCCUGUCUCUGUACCAAUACCACACAGUUUCUAAUCACAAUUGCUCUGUAAUACUGCUUGACGUCAGGGAUGGUGAAACCCUCAGAA